GGGGGGGGGGGGGGGGGGGGGGGGGGGGUGGGGGGCGGGGGGGCGGGCGAGGAGGUGGCGGCGCGGAUGGUAGCGGCGGACGGGUGAGUAACACGUGGAUAACCUACCUAUAAGACUGGGAUAACUUCGGGAAACCGGAGCUAAUACCGGAUAAUAUUUUGAACCGCAUGGUUCAAAAGUGAAAGACGGUCUUGCUGUCACUUAUAGAUGGAUCCGCGCUGCAUUAGCUAGUUGGUAAGGUAACGGCUUACCAAGGCAACGAUGCAUAGCCGACCUGAGAGGGUGAUCGGCCACACGGGAACUGAGACACGGUCCAGACGCCUACGGGAGGCAGCAGUAGGGAAUCUUCCGCAAUGGGCGAAAGCCUGACGGAGCAACGCCGCGUGAGUGAUGAAGGUCUUCGGAUCGUAAAACUCUGUUAUUAGGGAAGAACAUAUGUGUAAGUAACUGUGCACAUCUUGACGGUACCUAAUCAGAAAGCCACGGCUAACUACGUG
rnacentral:rRNA from 1 species